UACGUAGGGGGCAAGCGUUGUCCGGAAUUAUUGGGCGUAAAGAGCUCGUAGGCGGUGUGUCGCGUCGGCCGUGAAAACCUGCAGCUUAACUGUGGGCUUGCGGUCGAUACGGGCAUCACUGGAGUUCGGCAGGGGAGACUGGAAUUCCCGGUGUAGCGGUGGAAUGCGCAGAUAUCAGGAGGAACACCGGUGGCGAAGGCGGGUCUCUGGGCAGUAACUGACGCUGAGGAGCGAAAGCGUGGGGAGCGAACAGG
rnacentral:rRNA from 1 species